UACGUAGGUGACAAGCGUUUGUCCGGAUUUACUGGGCGUAAAGAGCGCGCAGGCGGUCGAUCAAGUCGAGUGUGAAAGCCCCCGGCUCAACUGGGGAGGGUCAUUCGAUACUGAUCGACUCGAAGGCAGGAGAGGGUAGUGGAAUUCCCGGUGUAGUGGUGAAAUGCGUAGAUAUUGGGAGGAACACCAGUGGCGAAGGCGGCUCACUGGACCGGUACUGACGCUGAGGCGCGAAAGCGUGGGGAGCAAACGGG
rnacentral:rRNA from 1 species